UACGGGGGGGGGCAAGCGUUGUUCGGAAUUACUGGGCGUAAAGGGCUCGUAGGCGGCCAACUAAGUCAGACGUGAAAUCCCUCGGCUUAACCGGGGAACUGCGUCUGAUACUGGAUGGCUUGAGUUUGGGAGAGGGAUGCGGAAUUCCAGGUGUAGCGGUGAAAUGCGUAGAUAUCUGGAGGAACACCGGUGGCGAAGGCGGCGAUCCUGGACCAACACUGACACUGAGGAGCGAAAGGCCAGGGGAGCAAAGCGGG
rnacentral:rRNA from 1 species